AUAUUUCCUCCCUAGUUUACUUAACGCGGCAUAGAGGAAACGCGGCUCUGCUUAUGGCAUCCAUUUAGUUCGUUCACUUGCAAAUUGGUAUCUCGGAAAAUCAACAAUAAUUAGUUUAUAAAUGUUGAGUUAGCCAUAAGAAUAACAUUACGCAAUACAAAUAAUAUAAAACACUAGCUACGUCGUUUAUCGCCCACAUUUCCAAUAUGAUGGACGCACAGCGUGAAAAAGAACGCGACCGGUCUAGACGCGGGGACAGACCUUCAAGAUUUUCUGAUGUGACGCGUGACCGGUCUUCGGAUCGCGAUCGUCCAGAGGGCAAACGCUUGUUCGUGUCUAAUAUACCAUACGAGUUCCGCUGGACGGAAUUAAAGGACUUGUUCAAAGAAAAGGUUGGAGAUGUUGCUUAUGUUGAGCUCUUUAAUGAUGAGAAUGGUAAGGCGAGAGGUUGUGGUGUUGUGGAGUUCACAAACUCUGAAGCCAUGAAAAAAGCCCUUUUUGUAAUGCACCGCUAUGAGCUGAAUGGACGCAAACUUGUAUUAAAAGAAGAAACUGGUAAUGAACGUAAUCGCCUUAACUCUACAAGAUCCACUGGAGGUGGUGGUGGUGGGAGAAUCAACAGAGAUGAUAAAGACAAUUGGGGUAUUAAUAAACCAAGGGAACCAGAAAACUUUAACACAUAUGGGUUGAGUUUGCAAUUCCUGGAGUCUAUCAAUGUCCAACCACCUCUUGUGAAGAAAGUAUUUGUAGCCAAUCUUGAUUACAAAGCAGAUCGUGCUAAAAUAAAGGAAGUUUUCAAAAUGGCAGGAAAAGUGCGUAACAUUGAUUUAGCAGUUGACAAGGAUGGUAAUAGUAGAGGAUUUGCAGUUAUUGAAUAUGAUCAUCCUGUUGAGGCUGUCCAGGCUAUUUCAAUGUUCGACAAGCAAAUGCUUUAUGACAGAAGAAUGACUGUUCGCAUGGACAGGGGAGUGACAGACAAAAGUGAAGUGAGGCUACCAGAAGGGUUGAAAAGUGUUGGUCUAGGAUUAGGGCCAAAUGGUGAACCUCUAAGAGAUGUUGCCAGAAAUUUGGCACACACUACCCCCACCAAUAAUUUGAAUCUGACAGGAACGGCUCCCACUUUGGGUGCUGGUGUGUUGGGAGCAGUGCCAGCCACCAGUGUCACUUUGAAUGGUCUUGGCACAGGAUUGACAGCAAAUACAUUGAACACUAACACAGCAUUAGGAGGUGGUCUUGGAUUGCAGGCUCUGGGCUUAACUGGAUUAGGAGCACUACAGAACCAACUUUUGCAACAAGGGUUGACUGCUAACGAUUUAGCAACAGUCUUAACAGCACAGGCGGCCAAUGUGAACCAAGCUAAUUUGAACCUUGGCAAUUCGGAUUUAAAUACAAAUGUGCUUAACAACACUGGUCUAUCAUCUAAUUUGUUGGGGACAAACUCUUUGAGUUCAGGACCAUUGUCAGAAUUUUCUUUAGGCAACAGCAGACAGCUGGGCGGAGUGUCGGUUCCCAAUCAGGGAUACGGUCGCGACCCGGGAAUGCAGCAAAAUACAAGGGAGAAAACUUCCGACAUGGUUAUUAUUACAAAUCUUCCACCGACGGUAACGUGGCAGUUGAUUCGUGAAAAGUUCAGUGAGUGUGGGGACGUGAAGUUUGCAGAGAUGACAGCGCCGGACACCGCCAUAGUUCGCUUCCACAAGGAAUGGGAUGCGGAGAGGGCGAUCAAAAUGUUUGACAGAACACGCAUCGAAGGCAGGACCAUUGACGUCCGUUACUUCUGAUUGCAAUGGGAUGAGUAUGAGGAUUUUUUUAUGAGAGAAUCAUGAAUCUGACUCUACACAUCCAUAAAAUUGAUUGAGCCAACCUUCAAUGAGCAAGCUUGUAGUGAAAAAGUAUUUGUGAUAGAAAGAGGACAGUUUUGGUUAUAAGGAAAGAGGGUAAAAAGGAGGUAGAUCUAUAGAAAGAGGACAUGGUGAUAAAUAACAAUAGUUUUAUCUACUAACGAAAAUCAAUUUAUUGCACGCACUGAAUACAUCAGGUCUUCAGAAGAAAGAAGACGACAACUUGACACGCGAAUUUGCAAUAAUAAAAAUUUAUUUAAUUUUGACUUUC
rnacentral:misc_RNA from 1 species